AAAUAAUAUUCCAUUCCUAAAAUCAAUUGCAGGACAGUAAUGAUACAUUCUAAGGAAACUUCUUAUUUCCAAUAAAAAAGAUAAUAUUCCAUUCCUAAAAUCACUUGCAGGACUUUUAACUUUUCCUAAAUUCUGUCAACCAAGCUCACCACAUAGUAUUUGUUACUUACACCUUUUAUUCCCUCUUUCUUGAUAUUUGUUUCUCUGACAGAUUGAUACGAAG
rnacentral:misc_RNA from 1 species